rnacentral:lncRNA from 1 species
AUGGCCUCCCUCAGGACCUCCCUCAGGGCCUCCUUCAUGGCCUCCCUCAGGACCUCCCUCAGGGCCUCCUUCAUGGCCUCCCUCAAGACCUCCCUCAGGGCCUCCCUCAGGACCUCCCUCAGGGCCUCCCUCAGGGCCUCCCUCAGGACCUCCCUCAGGGCCUCCUUCAUGGCCUCCCUCAGGACCUCCCUCAAGACCUCCCUCAGGGCCUCCCUCAGGACCUCACUCAAGACCUCCCUCAGGACCUCCCUCAGGGCCUCCCUCAGGGCCUCCCUCAGGACCUCCCUCAGGGCCUCCCUCAGGACCUCCCUCAGGGCCUCCCUCAGGGCCUCCUGCAGUACCUCCCUCAGGACCUCCCUCAGGGCCUCCCUCAGGACCUCCCUCAGGGCCUCCCUCAGGACCUCCCUCAAGAUCUCCCGCAGGGCCUCCCUCAGGGCCUCCCUCAGGGCCUCCCUCAGGACCUCCCUCAGGACCUCCCUCAGGACCUCCCGCUCAGGGCCUCCCUCAGGGCUCACUCAGGGCCUCCCUCAAGACCUCACUCAGGGCCUCCUGCAGGACCUCCCUCAGGGCCUCCCUCAGGGCCUCCCUCAGGGCCUUCCUCAGGACCUCCCUCAAGACCUCCCUCAGGACCUCCCCCUCAGGGCCUCCCUCAGGGCCUCCCUCAGGGCCUCCCUCAGGGCCUCCCCGUCAGGGCUUCCCUCAGGACCUCCCUCAGGGCCUCCCUCAGGGCCUCCUGCAGUACCUCCCUCAGGACCUCCCUCAGGGCCUCCCUCAGGACCUCCCUCAGGGCCUCCCUCAGGACCUCCCUCAAGAUCUCCCUCAGGGCCUCCCUCAGGGCCUCCCUCAGGGCCUCCCUCAGGACCUCCCUCAGGACCUCCCUCAGGACCUCCCGCUCAGGGCCUCCCUCAGGGCUCACUCAGGGCCUCCCUCAAGACCUCACUCAGGGCCUCCUGCAGGACCUCCCUCAGGGCCUCCCUCAGGGCCUCCCUCAGGACCUCCCCCUCAGGGCCUCCCUCAGGGCCUCCCCGUCAGGGCUUCCCUCAGGACCUCCCUCACAUCCUGUCAUGUGUCCCUUGA